rnacentral:rRNA from 1 species
GACGUAGGGGGCCAGCGUUGUUCGGAAUUACUGGGUGUAAAGGGUUCGUAGGCGGUGUGGCAAGUCGGGAGUGAAAUCUCUGGGCUCAACUCAGAGACUGCUUCCGAAACUGCUGUGCUGGAGUGUGGGAGAGGCGCGUGGAAUUGCAGGUGUAGCGGUGAAAUGCGUAGAUAUCUGCAGGAACACCUAUUGCGAAGGCAGCUCGCUGGGACGUAACUGACGCUGAGACGCGAAAGCGUGGGGAGCGAACAGG